CGUCUCCGAAGUUAACAAUGAAGCAAAAUAGUGAUAUCAAGCAAAUCUCAAAAAAUCGUUCUCAGUUCGGAUUGUAGUCUGCAACUCGACUACAUGAAGUCGGAAUCGCUAGUAAUCGUAGAUCAGCUACGCUACGGUGAAUACGUUCUCGGGUCUUGUACACACCGCCCGUCACACCAUGGGAGCUGGUAAUGCCCGAAGUCGGUUUGUUAACUUCGGAGACGACAA
rnacentral:rRNA from 1 species